rnacentral:misc_RNA from 1 species
CCCCACUUUUUUUUGGUUUUCCUUUUUUACAAACAAUCCUAGCUAUUCAUUUACUCUAAUCUCAACCAUCCAAUUCAUUGAUAUAUAUACUUAUCUAACACCUAGCCUUAGCCUCCUCCUCCUUAAUUUCUUCUUACUUCACGCCGCUAGCUAGAGAAAGUGAAAGCAGAGUGCGUUGUUGCGUUGUUUCUUCUCACUUCAUUUAUCUUAGCCUUCUCUCUUCUAAGAUUCUCAUUUUGCUGCUACCUUAGUUGUUGAUCUUCUUGCCAUUGUUUUGUUUCCUUUCAUUCAAAUCAUCAUCUCUAUCUCCAUUGGAGAAGAAGUAUUGACACAGCCUGUGUUCCUCUAUUUUCUUCUCACCUUCGAAGGCUUUGUGUUCAAGCUUUUAACUCCACAUGCAGCCUCGGCCUUAAUAUGCUUGUUUUGAUUUAUUCUUUUGAUUUUUUGUUUUGUUGAUUGUGUAAUGUUUUGUUUAUGAUUCUACCUUGGCCUCUUGUAAUUUUGUCUUUUUUGUGUAUGAAGCAUUUAAGCAAGAAUUUGUGUGAUUGUAUUUACUUCUUGACUUUAUUUGGAAUUAUGAUGAUGGUAUAUGUAAAUUAGGGAUUUGGGGAAGAAGUUGAGGAUCUAUAUCGUAGGUAGAUGAAAACCAAACUAUUGAAUCAAAUCAAACCAAAAUAUUCUAUUUGAUUAGAUUUGAUUCUUUUGUUUAAAUCGGUUCGAUUCGAUUCGAAAACGAAGUAACCCAAUGCUCACAUGCUCACCCCUAGAAGUAGCUAAAAAAGUAAAAAUUAUCAAACACUUUGGUACUUGGCAAAUAAAAAAUCAAUUAAAGAACACACCACAACAAAUGAAAUAGAAAAUCAACCAUAAUUUCAUUCCCCGUAGCAAACUUUGGAUAGAUUUUCUUGAUGCAACCUUACUUUGAAGUCUAUUCAAUAACACUUGUGGUGCUCAAUUGAACUGAUUAACAUUGGAUACAUUUUAAGUGUUCCACAUGUUAAUGUUAGGUUGUGUUUCCAUGACAUUGAAAAUUGAUCUGUUUAUCAUAAUAUGUAGG